rnacentral:rRNA from 1 species
CAGAGGUCCCAAGCGUUGUUCGGAUUCACUGGGCGUAAAGGGUGCGUAGGUGGCGAGGUAAGUCGGAUGUGAAAUCUCCAAGCUCAACUUGGAAAUGGCAUUGGAAACUACCUUGCUAGAGGUUUGGAGGGGGGACUGGAAUUCUCGGUGUAGCAGUGAAAUGCGUAGAUAUCGAGAGGAACACCAGUGGCGAAGGCGAGUCCCUGGACAACACCUGACACUGAGGCACGAAAGCUAGGGGAGCAAACAGGAUUAGAUACCCUGGUAGUCCUAGCCGUAAACGGUGCUUGCUUGCUGUAAAAGGAAUCGACCCCUUUUGUGGCGAAGCCAACGCGUUAAGCAAGCCGCCUGGGAAGUACGGUCGCAAGAUUA